rnacentral:rRNA from 1 species
CCUACGGGGUGCUGCAGUGAGGAAUAUUGGUCAAUGGACGAGAGUCUGAACCAGCCAAGUAGCGUGAAGGAUGACUGCCCUAUGGGUUGUAAACUUCUUUUAUAUGGGAAUAAAAUGUUCCACGUGUGGGAUUUUGUAUGUACCAUAUGAAUAAGGAUCGGCUAACUCCGUGCCAGCAGCCGCGGUAAUACGGAGGAUCCGAGCGUUAUCCGGAUUUAUUGGGUUUAAAGGGAGCGUAGGUGGAUUGUUAAGUCAGUUGUGAAAGUUUGCGGCUCAACCGUAAAAUUGCAGUUGAAACUGGCAGUCUUGAGUACAAUAGAGGUGGGCGGAAUUCGUGGUGUAGCGGUGAAAUGCUUAGAUAUCACGAAGAACUCCGAUUGCGAAGGCAGUUCACUGGACUGCAACUGACACUGAGGCUCGAAAGUGUGGGUAUCAAACAGGAUUAGAUACCCGAGUAGUC